ACCUGGGUGGCUCAGUCGGUUAAGCAUCUGACUUCGGCUCAGGUCAUGAUCUCACGGUUUGUGGGUUCGAGCCCCAUGUCGGGCU
rnacentral:tRNA from 1 species